ACAGAGGAUUCUUGAUAGGUUUUGAAGUAGCACACAAAUUUACCGUGCAACAAUGUUUGGUUAUAGUUCAGAGUUCUUAAAUGAAAUCUUCAUUUACGCAGGGAUCUAUUUAUACCAGUUGACUGGCUGAUGGCUUCCGGAGUUUUCUUCGGACGGUGAAUUAACUUCUCAGCUAAUUGUUGCCUCAGGGAGGAAACACCUUUCUCAUGGGAUGGGUUCCAGCUCCCGUUUGUGCGGCGUAGCUGGAGGAACGAACAGUAGUUGUAAAACCUUGGCAGUGGUGAGAGCUGUUACGUAUGCUCUUUCCUACCCGUUCUUCCCUAGUUUCCCUCAGGUUCUGUUUUCCUUUCUCUCCGUUUCUCUCCAUGGUUCUCCGCCUGUCCUGCCCCCUGUCGGGGUGGUCGAUCCCCUUUUUUAUAACACCUCCGAGCCCGGGAAAAAACGUGACAUUUAACCCGAAAUCUCGGAUUCCGAUCGCUCUCGUCUAUUGUUUAUUAUUUCACUUGCAGGUGGGGUCUUCUGCAAUAGUC
rnacentral:lncRNA from 1 species